rnacentral:rRNA from 1 species
GCUUGUCGCGUCUGCUGUGAAAGCCCGGGGCUUAACCCCGGGUCUGCAGUGGGUACGGGCAGGCUAGAGUGUGGUAGGGGAGACUGGAAUUCCUGGUGUAGCGGUGGAAUGCGCAGAUAUCAGGAGGAACACCGAUGGCGAAGGCAGGUCUCUGGGCCAUUACUGACGCUGAGAAGCGAAAGCGUGGGGAGCGAACAGGAUUAGAUACCCUGGUAGUCCACGCCGUAAACGUUGGGCGCUAGGUGUGGGUCCCAUUCCACGGGGUCCGUGCCGCAGCUAACGCAUUAAGCGCCCCGCCUGGGGAGUACGGCCGCAAGGGCUAAAACUCAAAGGAAUUGACGGGGGCCCGCACAAGCGGCGGAGCAUGCGGAUUAAUUCGAUGCAACGCGAAGAACCUUACCAAGGCUUGACAUGCACCGGACGACUGCAGAGAUGUGGUUUCCCUUUGUGGCUGGUGCACAGGUGGUGCAUGGUUGUCGUCAGCUCGUGUCGUGAGAUGUUGGGUUAAGUCCCGCAACGAGCGCAACCCUCGUUCUAUGUUGCCAGCGGUUCGGCCGGGGACUCAUAGGAGACUGCCGGGGUCAACUCGGAGGAAGGUGGGGAUGACGUCAAAUCAUCAUGCCCCUUACGUCUUGGGCUUCACGCAUGCUACAAUGGCCGGUACAAAGGGCUGCGAUCCCGUGAGGGGGAGCGAAUCCCAGAAAGCCGGUCUCAGUUCGGAUUGGGGUCUGCAACUCGACCCCAUGAAGUCGGAGUCGCUAGUAAUCGCAGA